rnacentral:sRNA from 21 species
AAGAAAUGUGGGCUGAAUCCGGACCGUGUGUCUGGAACGGGGGAUAAUCUUUUGGGGUGAAUCGCAGUCAUGCGUAGGGCUUGCACCUUUUUGCCCGAAUCCGUCAACUAACCUCGUAAGCGACGAAAGGUGGAAAA